rnacentral:rRNA from 1 species
UACCAGCGGCCCUAGUGGUGAUCGUUAUUAUUGGGCCUAAAGCGUCCGUAGCCGGCCCGGUAAAUCUCUGGGUAAAUCGUUGGGCUUAACCCAGCGAAUUCUGGGGAGACUGCCGGGCUUGGGACCGGGAGAGGUUGGAGGUACUCCAGGGGUAGGGGUGAAAUCCUGUAAUCCUUGGGGGACCACCGGUGGCGAAGGCGUCCAACCAGAACGGGUCCGACGGUAAGGGACGAAGCCCUGGGGCGCGAACCGGAUUAGAUACCCGGGUAGUCCAGGGUGUAAACGCUGUGCGCUUGGUGUUGGGGGUCCUACGCGGGCACUCAGUGCCGUAGAGAAGUUGUUAAGCGCACCGCCUGGGGAGUACGGUCGCAAGACUGAAGCUUAAAGGAAUUGGCGGGGGAGCACAGCAACGGGAGGAGCGUGCGGCUU